GUUGUCCGGAUUAUUGGGCGUAAAGAGCUUGUAGGCGGUUUGUCGCGUCUGCUGUGAAAGGCCGGGGCUUAACCCCGUGUAUUGCAGUGGGUACGGGCAGACUAGAGUGCAGUAGGGGAGACUGGAAUUCCUGGUGUAGCGGUGGAAUGCGCAGAUAUCAGGAGGAACACCGAUGGCGAAGGCAGGUCUCUGGGCUGUAACUGACGCUGAGAAGCGAAAGCAUGGGGAGCGAACAGGAUUAGAUACCCUGGUAGUCCAUGCCGUAAACGUUGGGCACUAGGUGUGGGGGACAUUCCACGUUUUCCGCGCCGUAGCUAACGCAUUAAGUGCUCCGCCUGGGGAGUACGGCCGCAAGGCUAAAACUCAAAGAAAUUGACGGGGGCCCGCACAAGCGGCGGAGCAUGCGGAUUAAUUCGAUGCAACGCGAAGAACCUUACCAAGGCUUGACAUAUACUGGACCGCAUCAGAGAUGGUGUUUCCCUUCGGGGCUGGUAUACAGGUGGUGCAUGGUUGUCGUCAGCUCGUGUCGUGA
rnacentral:rRNA from 1 species